rnacentral:rRNA from 1 species
CGCGGCCUAUCAGCUUGUUGGUGAGGUAACGGCUUACCAAGGCGAAGACGGGUAGCUGGUCUGAGAGGAUGAUCAGCCACACUGGCACUGGAACACGGGCCAGACUCCUACGGGAGGCAGCAGUGAGGAAUAUUGGGCAAUGGGCGCAAGCCUGACCCAGCCACGCCGCGUGUGUGAUGAAGGCCUUCGGGUCGUAAAGCACUGUGGGGAGGGACGAAAAACCACCGUUCAAAUAGGGCGGAGGCUUGACGGUACCUCCUUAGCAAGCACCGGCUAACUCUGUGCCAGCAGCCGCGGUAAUACAGAGGGUGCAAACGUUGCCCGGAUUUACUGGGCGUAAAGCGCGUGUAGGCGGACUCGCAAGUCGGUUGUGAAAUCCCUGGGCUCAACCUAGGAACUGCAUCCGAAACUGCUUGUCUUGAGUAGUGGAGAGGGUGGCGGAAUUCCCGGUGUAGAGGUGAAAUUCGUAGAUAUCGGGAGGAACACCAGUGGCGAAGGCGGCCACCUGGACAUUUACUGACGCUGAGACGCGAAAGCGUGGGGAGCAAACAGGAUUAGAUACCCUGGUAGUCCACGCCGUAAACGAUGAGCACUAGGUGCAGCGGAUAUUGACCUCUGCUGUGCCGUAGCUAACGCGUUAAGUGCCCCGC